AAAACGGUCCUUCUCAGGACCAACAAACCAAUCACAGGCCGUUAUU
rfam:Acyrthosiphon pisum strain LSR1 Contig14540, whole genome shotgun sequence.